CUUCCGAUGUCUGCUGCGGGCAGAUGAAGUGAAUGUGCGUAUCGAUACCGCCUGCUGUGAUGAUCUUGUUCUCUCCAGCGACGACAUCUGUGCAGCUGCCGACCACCAUGUUCGGCGUCACGCCGUCCAUGACAUCUGGGUUGCCCGCCUUGCCAAUACCCACGAUNCGGUCCAGGCAGGAACGGGAUUUCAGGUAGGUCCUGCCAUCCCGCCUCCUG
rnacentral:sRNA from 1 species